GUCUCUCUUGCCAAAGACACGAUUACAAGAACUUAAAGGUGCCAUCCCUCAUAUUCAAAAUUCCCAACCCUCAAAAUUAUUUCUAAAUUAGUUGAUAAUGGUGUUUAUUUUCUAUUAUUUUCAUGACCUAUUAUCAUAAUCACUAGCAAGAAUGUGAUUGGCACUUUUAUUACAUCUGAAGAACAUUAGCUCUAGAACAAAGACAGAUUUGAUAAUCUAAGUUUCUACUAUCUCAGCAAAGAUGGGACUCCCUCAACGACUACCUUGGGAACACAGCCCUGUCACUUGAACACCAAAAAGAACUCUCUUGACUUGAAUUCACAGACAUCUGCCUGCCUCUCCCUCCUGACUGCUAGAUUAAAGGUAUUUCAAUUACAGCAACACAAAGGGAGCCAGUACAACAGGAUGAUGGGUAACAGAAACUUGCACCACAUAGCUUUCAGGGUUCUGUCCGGUCCAUGACCAGCAUUCAAUAAAGACUUGCUGAUGAUGCAGAAGAGCAGGUUCAGCAGUUUUCACUGGUGAAAACCGCUGACUGUGAGAAGUGCUCUGUCCAUGCUGAGGAUGGGGACAGUCCAAGGGACCUCAUCAUUGGGCCAGAAUGGGUCUUCCACACUUAUGAACAAAAACUUCCCGUGACCUACUUUCCAUCUUGAAUCAAAAUAAAAAAGUCAUCUUGCACUCC